AAUCGCCGCAUUGUUGUGUUUUUUUUAUUUGCAUGGUCCAGAGUUUUGUGAGUAAAAGAAAUGAGAAAAUCAGCAAGUUGUAGAAAAAAUAUAAUUUCCAGUGAUUAGUGAGUGUGAGUGAAGACAUUCGUGCAGUAAAACGUGUGAAAAAUGAAGUGCGCGGUCGUGAAUUGCUUCAACUCUAAGCACCGAAAUCCCAAUGGGGUGACCUUCCACAGGUAAGUUACAAUUUUCUUCUUUCUUUUGACGCAGCAAUUUUAGUGAAAAAUAGUGAGUGAAAGCUUAUUUAAUUGUGAAUGCGUGGGGGUGUAAUUUGUUCUAAGCGGCGAUUAAUAUGAAUAGAAAAAAAUUCUGAAAAAUGUGGAUACGGUGAAAAUCUUCCCGGCCAACAUAUUCGACAGGAUAGUAUUUAGGGAUUUCCAAGUAACUUGCAAGUUCGGGAAAUUUGGGCUACACGUCUAGAGCUCUCUAUGUCCCUUGUAGGGAAGGAUAAGUAUGUGUGCAGCAUGCACUUCAGGCCAGAAGAUAUCAAACAGAAAAAUACUUCUAAAACGCAGCGCUUCAAAUAUGUGCAUUUUUUUGGAUCCAACUGCUCUUCCGAUUGACUUAAGGCAG